rnacentral:rRNA from 1 species
GUCGAGCGGACAGAUGGGAGCUUGCUCCCUGAUGUUAGCGGCGGACGGGUGAGUAACACGUGGGUAACCUGCCUGUAAGACUGGGAUAACUCCGGGAAACCGGGGCUAAUACCGGAUGCUUGAUUGAACCGCAUGGUUCAAUUAUAAAAGGUGGCUUUUAGCUACCACUUACAGAUGGACCCGCGGCGCAUUAGCUAGUUGGUGAGGUAACGGCUCACCAAGGCGACGAUGCGUAGCCGACCUGAGAGGGUGAUCGGCCACACUGGGACUGAGACACGGCCCAGACUCCUACGGGAGGCAGCAGUAGGGAAUCUUCCGCAAUGGACGAAAGUCUGACGGAGCAACGCCGCGUGAGUGAUGAAGGUUUUCGGAUCGUAAAACUCUGUUGUUAGGGAAGAACAAGUACCGUUCGAAUAGGGCGGUACCUUGACGGUACCUAACCAGAAAGCCACGGCUAACUACGUGCCAGCAGCCGCGGUAAUACGUAGGUGGCAAGCGUUGUCCGGAAUUAUUGGGCGUAAAGCGCGCGCAGGCGGUUUCUUAAGUCUGAUGUGAAAGCCCCCGGCUCAACCGGGGAGGGUCAUUGGAAACUGGGGAACUUGAGUGCAGAAGAGGAGAGUGGAAUUCCACGUGUAGCGGUGAAAUGCGUAGAGAUGUGGAGGAACACCAGUGGCGAAGGCGACUCUCUGGUCUGUAACUGACGCUGAGGCGCGAAAGCGUGGGGAGCGAACAGGAUUAGAUACCCUGGUAGUCCACGCCGUAAACGAUGAGUGCUAAGUGUUAGAGGGUUUCCGCCCUU